AUGCAGAAGCACCGUCCACCGGCGAGGAGAAGUAGUACCGUCAGCCACCGAGGAUCCACCGUGGUUCUUCCUCCAUCGGCAAUGUCUUUUCCUGCUGAUCUUCUUUCCUCCGCCCAGCCUACAGAUUUCAAGAGGGGAGAUCUGGAUGCUGCGCACCGCGCCCUGCUUGGAUCUGAUGGAGUGGGCGAGGUAGUGGUCGGGGCAUGGGAUGGCGCCUUCAUCAUCAGACUAUUGGGAUUCAGCAUAUUUCUGCAGUCUUCUUCAGAGAUCAGGAGGGUUCGAUUCAACACAACUCCGGGCUUGGGUUGCCAUCAAACAAAAUCAGCUCGACAGUAUUCCUCUUUCUUGCUUCUUAUUAGUCAAAGUCUGAACUCAAUUUCUGUAUUUUAG
rnacentral:rRNA from 1 species